AGGGUGACUGUUAUCCCCAUUCGUGUGUAUGUAAUUUAUGCUGGAUAUUAUGUUCUGUGCCUUUAAGACUGGCAGAGUGAGAGUUUUGUUUUGGGCCUCCUAUCAGCUACUCGGCGGGACAUACAGAUAGCACCAGUGCAUGUUGCGGCUUCUCUGCUUUUUGCCCUGCUUUUUGCUCUCGCUCUUGCUUCUGCUUCGCUUCUGCUUUGCUUGCUCUUGCUUCUUUCCCCCCUUCUCAUUAGUUACCUUAGCUAAACAGUCCAAAUUCCUUUCUGGACUGUUCUCCCCCCCCCCCCCCCCGUUGGACCUGCUGACUGCUCCGGACUGGGAUUCAGAACACCGAGAGAGAGAGGUUACACCUUGUGGCUGCAGCAGCUGCCUCAGCACCGGAGGGACUGACAACAGCAAACCCCCAGGAGAGACUUUUCUGAAUUUGUCAUCUUUCUCAGAGCAGUGGAAGAGUGGUGUCAUCCGAACACCGAGAGAGAGAGGUUACACCUUGUGGCUGCAGCAGCUGCCUCAGCACCGGAGGGACUGACAACAGCAAACCCCCAGGAGAGACUUUUCUGAAUUUGUCAUCUUUCUCAGAGCAGUGGAAGAGUGGUGUCAUCCGGUAUUGUUCAUUGUGUGUGCUGGGGGGUGCUGUGCUUGUCAAAUAAACAGGUUCUUUCCACCUC